rnacentral:lncRNA from 1 species
GGAGGCGGCGGCGGGCGGCGCGGUCCGGAGCUGGACCUGGGCCCUCCGCUGCCGCACUGUGGGCGUGGAGCAGCAGCGGGCCUCUCCCUGAGUGACGGCGGGGGUCCUGAUGGACGUCGCGAAGCAACGCACUUAGAAAAAAGAAAAGACGGCCCCUGCAGGCCUGCCUGGUGCCCCGGCGCUGAGCGUGUUUGCCGCCCUCACGCCCGUUCCUUUUUUUGGAAGAACUUUCUUUUAUGGUAUACCUAGAAGUGUGCUCUACCUACCCCGGGACCAGUCCCAAAGCCAAUCAAGGUGCACCUCCGCCCUAACUAGCACACUUAGGUAAAACAAAAAAUUGUGUCUUUAAAACUAUUAAUUCACUGACCAUUUAAAAGGACGAUCUCUUCGUAUCAUUGAUUUUCGCUGUAGUUUAUGUGUUUUCUACUCUCUUGUUCAUCAUUAAGUAUGCUACUAGAUGAUUU